ACGUCACGCGCUGCUUUACUUUGCAACCACAAAACUGGGCACACACACGAAAGCGGUUGCAUACGACUUGGCAGACACUCGCGAGCAGGCUAGGAGGAAAGCGAAUACACGAAGUCGCCAUCAAGGCGGCGCGCACGCUUAGUGGCUGCUUGGUAUAUUCCGUCUGUGGGCUGGCUCUCUCUCGUCGUGACGCGUUCGCCACCGUGGCUGCAGCAGAGGCACGAUCGACGCUCAUGGACCUAUGCGGUACCGAUGUCGUUCCCUUUCAAGGCGUGCGGUUGGGGACUACCCCAACAGAGGACUUCUACUUAACGACUCUUGAGAAGAAACUGUUGCGGAUGUCGGCGAUGGAGCAGCUGCGCGCGUGCUGUUUUGCUGACCCCCCGCUGCCUACUGCGCGUGAUGGUGGCGAGCAGUCGCUCCUGUGGUGCGUGCUGAGCGAAUCGGUGCGCGUGUUUUUGUCUCUGAUGUUGUUUCUCUGCCUCGUGGCGCACCUCCUCAACUGACGACAGAUCCAUCCAGAUGACGUCGAUACCCUCACUUAUCUUGGCAGAGGGUUGCGCGCGCUUCUUUUCGUUGCCAUUGUCUUGCUCUGCUCACUGCUCGCUUUCUUUCCUGCUCAGUGCGUUGCUUUGUGGAAUUCGGUGGUCACAGCGUUAGCUUCCCUUGUGUUGGCUUGGCGGCGCAAUCGUAGCGUGCGCGCUGGCGGGUCGGACAGCUGGUUUUCUGUCAGUCACAUCUAACUUCAGGGCUGCAUGUCAUCAAACUCCAGUGGUGAUGUGCAUCAAGCGUUGCUGCAUGUCUUCGACAGGAAAGCGCAGCUCCUCGGAUGAUUCUCCGCCGUCUGCUGUAUGGUUUCACUCGUGUACCUUGUUUUUCCCGAUCUUCUCCCGUGCCGCUUUUCUUCCCUCUCCUCUUGGUACCACAAG
rnacentral:misc_RNA from 1 species